GCCUUAGCAGCGCAAUUGGUUAGCAUGCGUCUCGCAAAGGGUAAAGUGCGGGUUCGAACCCCGCCUGAGAUCA